rnacentral:rRNA from 1 species
AGAGUUUGAUCCUGGCUCAGGACGAACGCUGGCGGCGUGCCUAAUACAUGCAAGUCGAGCGAGCUGAACCAACAGAUUCACUUCGGUGAUGACGUUGGGAACGCGAGCGGCGGAUGGGUGAGUAACACGUGGGGAACCUGCCCCAUAGUCUGGGAUACCACUUGGAAACAGGUGCUAAUACCGGAUAAGAAAGCAGAUCGCAUGAUCAGCUUAUAAAAGGCGGCGUAAGCUGUCGCUAUGGGAUGGCCCCGCGGUGCAUUAGCUAGUUGGUAGGGUAACGGCCUACCAAGGCAAUGAUGCAUAGCCGAGUUGAGAGACUGAUCGGCCACAUUGGGACUGAGACACGGCCCAAACUCCUACGGGAGGCAGCAGUAGGGAAUCUUCCACAAUGGACGAAAGUCUGAUGGAGCAACGCCGCGUGAGUGAAGAAGGUUUUCGGAUCGUAAAGCUCUGUUGUUGGUGAAGAAGGAUAGAGGUAGUAACUGGCCUUUAUUUGACGGUAAUCAACCAGAAAGUCACGGCUAACUACGUGCCAGCAGCCGCGGUAAUACGUAGGUGGCAAGCGUUGUCCGGAUUUAUUGGGCGUAAAGCGAGCGCAGGCGGAAGAAUAAGUCUGAUGUGAAAGCCCUCGGCUUAACCGAGGAACUGCAUCGGAAACUGUUUUUCUUGAGUGCAGAAGAGGAGAGUGGAACUCCAUGUGUAGCGGUGGAAUGCGUAGAUAUAUGGAAGAACACCAGUGGCGAAGGCGGCUCUCUGGUCUGCAACUGACGCUGAGGCUCGAAAGCAUGGGUAGCGAACAGGAUUAGAUACCCUGGUAGUCCAUGCCGUAAACGAUGAGUGCUAAGUGUUGGGAGGUUUCCGCCUCUCAGUGCUGCAGCUAACGCAUUAAGCACUCCGCCUGGGGAGUACGACCGCAAAGGUUGAACUCAAAGGAAUUGACGGGGCCCGCACAAGCGGUGGAGCAUGUGGUUUAAUUCGAAGCAACGCGAAGAACCUUACCAGGUCUUGACAUCUAGUGCAAUCCGUAGAGAUGCGGAGUUCCCUUCGGGGACACUAAGACAGGUGGUGCAUGGCUGUCGUCAGCUCGUGUCGUGAGAUGUUGGGUUAAGUCCCGCAACGAGCGCAACCCUUGUCAUUAGUUGCCAGCAUUAAGUUGGGCACUCUAAUGAGACUGCCGGUGACAAACCGGAGGAAGGUGGGGAUGACGUCAAGUCAUCAUGCCCCUUAUGACCUGGGCUACACACGUGCUACAAUGGACAGUACAACGAGGAGCAAGCCUGCGAAGGCAAGCGAAUCUCUUAAAGCUGUUCUCAGUUCGGACUGCAGUCUGCAACUCGACUGCACGAAGCUGGAAUCGCUAGUAAUCGCGGAUCAGCACGCCGCGGUGAAUACGUUCCCGGGCCUUGUACACACCGCCCGUCACACCAUGGGAGUCUGCAAUGCCCAAAGCCGGUGGCCUAACCUUCGGGAAGGAGCCGUCUAAGGCAGGGCAGAUGACUGGGGUGAAGUCGUAACAAGGUAGCCGUAGGAGAACCUGCGGCUGGAUCACCUCCUU